GAAAAGCCACUGGCCGGCUGGAUCCCAUUUCCCAGUUUGUGGAAUCCCGGGACGCGGCAUGUGGAGCCCCGCCUCCUGGAGCUCGAGGACAGAGCCGCCUCGGCUGCGCAGUCUGGCGGGAAAGGGAAUUCAACCCCUAAGGAGAACAGUCACCACACUCAUGGCAGGGAUUUUGCGCUCAAUAGUUCAGAGGCCCCCAGGCAGACUACAAAUGGUGACAAAAGGUGUGGAGCCCCUUGUUCGUACAGAUUGGAUUCGUCACAAAUUUACGAAGUCAAGAAUUCCAGAUAAAGUUUUUCAACCUUCACCUGAAGAUCAUGAAAAAUAUGGUGGGGAUCCCCAGCAGCCUCAUAAACUGCAUAUUGUUACCAGAAUAAAAAGUACAAAAAGACGUCCAUAUUGGGAGAAAGAUAUAAUAAAGAUGCUUGGGUUACAGAAAGCACAUACUCCUCAAGUUCACAAGAAUAUCCCUUCGGUGAAUGCAAAACUGAAAGUGGUUAAACAUUUGAUAAGAAUCAAGCCCCUGAAGCUGCCGCAGGGUCUCCCAGGAGAGGAGGACAUGUCCAGCACGUGCCUCAAGAGCACUGGAGAGCUGGUGGUGGGGUGGCUUCAGAACCCCACGGACCAGGAAGUGAAUAAGUCCUGAUGGCCUCGCGGCUUCAGAGUAAAAAGUGCAAGUCAUUUCUAUUUCAAGAUGAAUUAGCCACAACAUUAUACAUGUCUGAAACUGAGUAGGCCUUUGUUUUACAUACAAAAUGAAGGAGGCGUACGAGGGAAGAAGAUUCAGAGAAAGAAAUAAUUUCCAACCAACAUUUGAUCCCUUGCGUUACUGCAGACAUUUAAUCAGCCACAUCCGUGGACACAAAGCUCAAAGGACACCCGAGCAGGGGACUCUUCUCUUUAGAGAGAACUUCAAACAAUCCUCAAAGAUAAUCCAGUGCGGGAAAGAGACAGGAAGUAGUGACAGAAGGCUGGGAAAUGGAGGCAGUGGGAGGGGACGCCAAGCCCAUGGCAGAGCCUUAGCAGUGGAGAGGUUGGUGGAGACCCAAGAAUUCAGAAGGGGCAGACGACCUGGGGAACAGGUGGGGGAGCAGAGGUCCUGCAGAAGGAAGGACCAGGGUGUGAGAGACGGAAUGAAGGACAUGGUUGGAGAGAAAUUUAGGCAGGAUAGAAGAGGAUGUGGUUAGGAAUGGAGCCACAUAGAGCCACGAAGAGAAGCCAAACCCGUAGCUUUUCAUGGCGUCGACUUGGUGUGAUCCAACAGGUGAGACGACAUACUCACAGUCGUGGCUCCUAGAACCCUCCAUAUAGUUUGGCCAGUUUCAAAUUACAGCGAACAGCCUACAGCGACUUACUUCAUUCUUUAAAAGUGAGAAAAGCUAUUUUUCCUACAUUCAAGAUGGAUUUGGCAAAGCCAAGCCCUGGAGUGGGGUUGCUACUCUUUGCUGCUCUUAAAUUAGAGCUUGUCAGUCAAGUAGGCAUUCACCCCCAGACAACCAGCAAAGAAAGACAAGCAGGUGGAACAGAAAUGAGCAGCAAACCGUCCAUACCCAGACUCCGCUCGCUCCCUGUGUGCAGCUCAUCUCAGGACGCCAGAGCCUGGGGGUCAGGCAGGUGCUUCAAGCUCAAAGGCACAAUCAGAAACCACGCCUCUCCCAUCCCUUUCUGCCCUUCACAUUUUCAAAGCUUCAUCCAAGUUUUAACUUCUCAUCUUACUAAAAGUAAACAGCAUAGCUUUUUUGAGGAACCUACUGAGUGAACCCAAGCAGCAGGAAUGUCCACGUGGCAUGAUAAUUCCUUUGAGACUUUAAUUUGUGUUUUGUUUUUUGUGUUUUCUCUCCCUCAUUGGCCAGGCCUUCCUUUGUGUUCCUUUGACUGAGGUCAGCCUCUGUUCCAGGUAUUUGUUUUUAAAAGCGUGAAGUUAUUAAGGGGUAUUAGGCUAGAGGGAGGGAAGAGAAAUGUUUUGAAGAGUGGAGAAAAGAGAUGCUCUGCACCCCACACACAAGCAGGGGCCUUCCUACAUCCCUAGACAUUUCAGGAUGCUCAGCUGAUUUCCAUCUGCCAGGAUCUGCAUCUCGGUGUCAACGGUCUCAUUCCCUUGGAAGUUCUGAAAAGUGUGCCACCUAUUUGCAUGGAAGACCAGAGGAGCAAAGAAUUAAGCUGCUCUCCUCCCAACAGGCAGAUACCCCAGUCAGUGGCUCUUAGAAGUUGAUGUAUAAAUACCCCAGCUUCUUGGCCCUUGUGUAUAAUAAUUCUGCAGUGUGUUUUGCACAAUCCCUCAGUGUUUGCUUGGAGGAUUGAGCUGCAGUGCCCACUGUGGUAGCCGGCUUGACGACACACAUUUUAUUGGCUUUCUUCCCUUCCCUGUAUCCCCCAGCCACUUCAUAUCAGCAUUCCCUGAACCUCUCAAAUAAACCACCUGCACCUGAAGUUGUUUCAGGGUCUGCUUCUACGGGAACCAAACUAAGACACCUUAAAUAUUGACUCUCCUCUAGAACAUCUGGUAUCUCAGUCAUAAAAAGAAUACUGGGGGAAUAGAUUCAGAGUAUGAGUCAUCAUACUAUUUCUUGUUUUUCAAAUUAUUUGGAAAUUAUCUCACCUGGGUGAGAUAAUUUUUUUUUUUUAGUAGUGACAUUGAAGGAGUUGGCAAUUAGAUGGAGUACAUGCUGUGAUUUCUCCCACAGAAGAAAUCAUUCUUGAGCAAAGUGAACAUCUAAAGAAUGUCCUGGAUUGCCCACAUGCAGAGAUAAUAAUCAAAGUAUUUAACUGGUACAGCAUGGUCCUCAACCAGUCAUAAAAGAUGCUGGUCUACAUGCUGCAGGGCUGCCUCACCAGCUGACCAUAGGCUCUGCCCAGUGAAACACAGGGGUCCCAGUUCUGCCUGGGUGAAAUCUGCAGGUAGGCUUGAGGGGUCAUUGAGCAGAGAAGGGUUCACUUGGCUUUCUCCAAGGGGGCUCAGAGGUAGGUGGGUAUGAUUUUGAUUCCUCCUCAGAAAAAGAAGUGAUGUGUAGAAACAUUUAUUGAACAUCUCUGAAGGGAGCUAAAGGCCCAGCAGGGGCCAUAUCGGCAGGGACUUUGAGAGCUUUACAUUCCAACAUAUUAUUUGUGUUUUCUUCUGAGUAUGGAAGUAAAGCCACAAACUGCAUCAGGUUUCCUUCUGGAAGAAUGUCUCUUCUCCAUUGUGGGUGGUCUGGGCAAGACCAAAAAGCAGAGCAGCCAGCCUGUAGGCGUGUAUAUGAUCCAAGGUGAGUCCAUCAGUCCCUCCCGGAACUAUAGAAGUGAAGCAGAAUGAUGAAAGGAUGGGAGAAAAGGUCGUUGGAGUUCAUUUACGCAGUGAGAGUGCUGAUUCAUUCGUGCAGUAGGGAUGCUAUAAAGUAUGGUCAACUGCUUCCUGCUACCCAGACCCCAGAGCUGCCUGGUUACUCUUCUUGUCCUUGAGCCUUUCACUGGCUCUGGGAGCCUUUUGAUAGCCUUUCGGUAAUUUCCUUUUACUGCUUAAACUUUCCAGAACUGGUUCAUUUUACUUACACCUAAAGAACAAUAACAAAAUUGGCUCCUAUAUGCUUAUCUUCAGCCAUGUUUGGUGGAGAAUGGACCUCUUGAAAGAUUGUGUGGCAGCAACUACUGAAAAGGGAAGAAAAGAAGCCAGUCCCUGGAUCUUCAGCAAACAAGAGGAAGAAGACCCAAGAGCCUUAUGAAUCACAAAAGAUAUGGAAGGGCUACUGAAAGCAGUAGAAAUAGAGAAGAUACAUGAAGAUAUGAAGAAGGUAAAAGAAGGUCCGGAGAGGACAAGUUGAUGAUUUUUAAAAGAGGCAAAAAGCAUACAUCUCUAAGAAACCCCCUUGGAGGCUUUGACUCAGGCCCUCCCUUCGCUCUUGUCUUCGGCCUCCCGACCAAAACCUGGCGUUUCUCCCGUGGCCCUGAGUUGCGGGGCCUGCCUCUUGUUUCUAGGGGAACGUUUUAUUGAGAUCUAGUGGACAUACAGCACUGUAUAAGUUUAAGGUGUACAGAAUAAUGAUUUGUUUACAUACGUCAUGAAGUGAUUCUCACGGAAGCUGCUGGAGGAUGUGCUCCAUAUAAACAAAGGAGUAAGCUAAAAAUGUGAAAAAUGGGGAGAUGCAACAUGGGAGAGCUGCAAAGGACUGAUGGUGAAGCUGAAACUGCACAACUCAGAUGGGACUCAAACCCACCAAAACUCAGAUUGGGACUUGAACCCACAGGCUGGGACUCGAAUCCAGAAUCCACUGUCGUUUAAUUGAGACCACACACCUGGUCUCAGGAUUUAGUGAAGCUCAGGUUCUUUAUGUCUCAUCCCAGAAGGAAUUCAGCAAGAGCCCAAGUGAUAGAAGCUGCGUGAGGCUGCCCUGGUGAUUGCAGGACUUUACCCAUCUGGUUCACACGUGGACUCGUAACCAGUGCCUCCCAGUCCAUUGCCAUUGUGCCAGGGAAAUGGAAAUCUCCAAAGGUGUAUUCCUGAGGUCUUCUCAGUCAUAUUGUCCUUAGUGAGGAUCCCUUCACUGCAUUCAGCCUUGAAAGUGGGUCUUGGAAGACAGACGGUGGGGAGACAAGAAGGAAGCAGCCCAGGAGUUCAAGGUCAUGAUGGUCAUGAGCAGGUUCCACAAGCCCGUAACACAGAAGCCCACAGGAACUCAACAUACUGUCGAGUUACCAAAUACAGGUUCUUUCAAGAAACCAAGAUACUUUGAUUCUCAACACUGAGAAAUACGGUGAUCUGACUGCAGAUCUUGAAAAGCCAGUUUCUGAUGCAUGUGCCUCAUCCCAAUAGCCUCUUCAUUAUCAAAAGGUUAGUAUUGUGGGUGGUUCCUUCCAAACACCCAGGAAGAGAAUAUGUCAAGAUGAAGAAGAGGUAUUAAGGAAGUCAUUUGAAUUAACAAAAAGCCGUGCUUUUUGUUUUUCUUCCCUACAACAUUGAGAUAGUCUAUCUGAUUUCCCUUAGUUGAGUAGAAAAUGUCGUGCCCAGUCCAGAACACCAGAAAGAUACAGGAACUUUGCAUUUUACCUGUGUUUACAGGAACUCUCAGAUUCAAUCACCUAACAGGAAUCACCCACUGAGCCCCCAGCACUGAAUGAGAGAGGACACUCUGUCCCAGGAAAAAGAGCAGAGAAAGAGCCAUGUAGGUACAGGAAAAGCUCAUAGUUUCAUGAAAGUGUAUAUUUACAGAGGCUUCUCACUGGCUUUAUGGAAAGGACCCAUCCGAAAAAAGGACUGCUUGCAACCAGAUGCAAAGCCCAGAGCAUUUUACUCUUUGUACUGCUUUUCCAGGGGAAAAAAAUUCUUCUUGGAAACACAAGUGGAAAAAUUUAGCUUUUAUUGCAACAUGAAAGCUCGUUUCAUUUUCCAGGCAUGGAGCUAAAUGUCUGUGUUGCGUAAGCACUUGAAUGAAAAGAGUCUGUGUAAAUACAUGUGCCAGUGACUUAGGAACACAGAGUUACUUUGUUUGUUUUUUUUCAAUUACAUCAGGAAAGAGCAAGAAGGGACAAUAAGACAUCAACAUAGCAUAUCGAAGGAACCCAAACUCUGUGACGCAACUUUCCAGGUGCCAAAAAGGAGUCUAUGUUCAGAAGGGAGUGUUGAGGCGUCACUGGAGUGUGUGUGGGGAGAGUCCAUCGGUCACCCAGGACUGAUCCGGUCAAACCCCUGUGGCUCCAGACACUUGGAACCAUUAUCAAAACGUCAGCCCCUGCCUUCUCCCGGGUCCCCUGCCCUGCCACACCUGGAAUGUGUGAGAGCAGUGAACUUGGCGGCUUCAUUCAUGACUGAGUCCUCAGAGACCAGAUCAGAGUCUAGCACGUUGUGUGUGUUCGGUAUAUAUUUGUUGAAUCCGUCAAUGCAUGAAGAAUCUUCAAUCUCACCCAGCAAGGUUCAGAUCGGUCCUCCAACCCCGCGUCCCAGUCUAUGAUGCCAUCCUCAGAAACAGAAGUCUACAUGUAGUCAAGCAUUCUCAUUGCAAAAGACCGUAUCUUCUAGUUUUCAUUAAGGUCAGUGACAGUGGAAAGAUACGAUUGAAUUUUCAGCAUGGCAAAAGUUUGACUACCUAAAACUAUCAGAUGGAAAAAGGUGCCAUGUCUAAACAUACUGCUGGUUGCUGAAAGGAAAGCUCAAAGCCUUGCUGCUUUUCUUGUCAGUGAUCGCCAGAAGAAGAGGAGUAUUUUGAUCAAUCUUGCUCACAAGACGCCUCCUGCCAGCUCUGGGGUUCAGAAAGAAUUGACUUAUUCUUAAUAGUCAAACCCCAGUUCAUUGAGAGGUUCUACCAUGUUUGCUUUUUUUGGGGGGGGGAAUCUUCUACUUUGCAUUCCUCCUUUUUAAUCUUCGGCUUGGCACAUCCCUACGUUGUGAAAUCUCCUUGUGUGUUAAGAGCAGUGUUUUAAUACCAAUUUAUAAACAUGCAAGUACUUAUAUAAAUUUAGACAUGUAAAUGCAUGUCUCUUAUUGGCUUUCCUCUUACACCUAAUAAAAUCUCCAAGAGAAAUACUU